rnacentral:snRNA from 1 species
GGAUGUGAGGGAGAUUUGGCUGAGUCAUCUGUUACCCCAUUGGUUUACAGGCUUGUUUCGGCUGAUCUGGCCCCUUCCUCUCUGCUCCCUGGGCAUCCCUUGUGAAGCUGCACCCUCAGAUGAAAAGGGCAACCUUCCUGGAUAGAGGAGGACUAUUCUUCAGUCAAGAGCAUAUGAGUAGCUGGGGUCCCAUGCUAGAACCUCCAAACAAGCUCACGUAAAAGUAUCUGUAGAUUCUCUCUCUCUCUCUCUCUUUGGCUAUGUGUGUGUGGUAUGUGUGCAUGUAUGUAUUUGUGUAUGUGAGGGUGCACCUGUGUGUGUAGCAUGCUC